rnacentral:lncRNA from 12 species
UCGGAGAGAGAAAGGGCUUGUUCAGUCUGCCCCCUCUUGCAUUCUCUCAUUAGGCUGGCAAACUUACGAGGCAGGUGCCAUGAUUAAACGAUCCGAGAUCAGCUAAAGGCCAGGGCAGCAGAGCUAGGUUAGAGCCUGCAGUCUCCCCACUGUGAUCCACUGUGCAUGGCGGGCCCAGGCCAGGAGACGGCAGGCUGGGUGCUCCAAGGGGCAGUGGGUAGCAUCCACACGAGCGUGAACUGCCAGGAGGUUGUUGACAGUGUCGUGAGGUGGGCGACUUCCAGGAGACCUUUGAGGGAGAGGGAGCACCUCAGAGCAGUGGUUUGAACAUUAACAUUGGACACUUUGAACAUUAACAUCGAACACUUUGCUGAACAUUAAAGAUUUACAAAUUCCUAUGCACAGCUGCAUCCCAGACCAAUUAAAUGAGAAUUUCUGGAGGCAGGGCCUAGGCAACUGAAGUGUUUGAAGCUCCCCAAGUGAUUCCACUGAGGUCAAGUUUGAAAGCCAGGGCUUUAUGUAGCACUUCUCAAAUGUUGAUGUGCCCAGGAGUGACCUGGAGACUCGGUAAAAUGUGGAUUUGGAUUCGGUACUCCUAGAGUGGAACCAGAGAGUCUGACUUCCUAACAAACUCCUCGGCAGUGCUGAUGUUACAUGUUGGGUAGCAAGACUUCAGAGAGGCACAAGGCCCUUUGUUCCAGAAUUAACUUCGGAGAAGCUGACCUGGUUCCACUGGAGGAUUCUGUGUCUGGCCUGAUUGCAUCCUCGGUUUUGGAUCACUUUUUCUGGUCAUCCACAGAGUAUGCUGCCAGCAAGUUGCUGGUGCAAGGAUGGAGGGUGCUUUGAAGGUGAAGCUGCUGGUCACUGGAAAUCAAUUUUGGGUGAAUUUUGUGAUGGUUAUAUAGAGUUUUCCCCACAUAUGAUAUUAAACUUCUUUUAAAAAAUCUACCUUUGGAAUCUUCAACAAAUCUACGUGGCUUGUUAUAUAAUGUUUUGUAGAGUGGUGGGCACACCAGGACCAGCUGUGGGGGGGGGGGGUUCCCAUGGAAGAUAUCCAGCUCCCUGUCCCCCCACAAUGGAGUGACCAGGAGUUUUACCCAUUGCAACAGUCAUUAGUCCUGGUAAAGGUCUUCAGAGGUGGGUUUCAUGUUCACCAUUUAGAGAUGAAAUAACUGAGACAUAGAGCGGUGCAGUAGUUUGCCGUCCAUUGAGCAGAUGCCAAGCCAAGAUGAAAACCAGUUCUGAUAACUUCUAGAGCUCAUUCUGCAUUUUUUCUGUGGACUUUGUAGAUGACAAGAGUCAAGGAGAUGAGGGAAACUCUGCCAUUCUUCAAUUGGAAGUAAAGUAGGCUAAGACAUUUUGUAGACUAUGUUCCAGGAAACACAUAUAGCACUACAUUAAUUUGAAAUAUCACUUCAUGUAUUUUCCUUCAGUCAUUUUGUCAUGUGAACUAAGCCUAAAAGCUUGGUUUGCUGUUCCGAUUACAAAGACUACCUAGAACCUGGAGCCUUUGCUCAGUUCAAAUUUCAUACUAGACUUAAAAUGCUCUUGCAAGGCAGUGGCAUAUCAAGAGAGAAAAGGGUUUUGCUGGAAACUCUCAGGCUGGAUUUUUGCUUCUCAGGAAUCAGUGCUGGAAUAAUGUAGCAGGGAUGGAAGCUGGAAUAAUGUAACAGCCUGCAGGGAUGGAUGGGAAAGAGGAAGGAGGAGAAAGCUGGCUGGAGUGGGUGGGGCUUCCAUUGGGCCCAACAUGUGAAGAAGACAAGUUAACCAGAAGGAUCUAACAAGGAAGGUUCCAGAGCAUGGCAGAUGUGUAUUGGAGUGCAGUGGAAGGUUAAAUCGCCAUCAG